UACUAGACCUAAAUACGCUAAAAGCACCAGUCUGAUAUUGGAAGCUAAGCAGGGUCAAUCCUGGUUAGUACUGGGAUGGGAGACUGCCAAAGAAUACCAGGUGCUGUAGGCU
rnacentral:rRNA from 1 species